AUUUUGCAACAAAUUUUUUUGCCUUACCAAUCAUGCGGUGUGGGUGCUCACCGGCGCUGGAGCUGAGGUUCUGCGAAUUCUUGUUUAGGGAUCCGAUGGAGAGCUCGGAUAUGGCAUCGCAGCCGUUGAGCGACAGGGUCACGCCGAAGCUCCUCCUCGGCUGCACGGAUUGCGUCACUGUCAUGCAGGGCGAGCCGCAGACUGGAUCCGGAAAGACAUAUACGACGGGUACCAAUUAUACUGGUGAAGCUGAUCGUGGAGGAAUAAUUGCACCUCUCAUGGAGACGAUAUUCAGGAAAUCUGAUGCGAUGAACCGUCAUACAGAGUUCUUAAUUAGGGUAUCCUUCAUCGAGAUAUUCAAGGAGGAAGUAUUUGAUUUACUUGAUGAUCAUGGGUCUGUUGCAAAAGUGGCAGCGCCUGCUAGAGUGCCUAUUCAGAUUC
rnacentral:rRNA from 1 species